UCCGCCUUGUCGACGGCAGUCUCCCUAGAGUGCCCAACUUCAAUUGCUGGCAACUAGGGACAAGGGUUGCGCUCGUUGCGGGACUUAACCCAACAUCUCACGACACGAGCUGACGACAGCCAUGCAGCACCUGUGCACCGAUCCCGAAGGAAGGAUGUGUUUCCACACCUGUCCGGUGCAUGUCAAACCUGGGUAAGGUUCUUCGCGUUGCAUCGAAUUAAACCACAUACUCCACCGCUUGUGCAGGCCCCCGUCAAUUUCUUUGAGUUUUAAUCUUGCGACCGUACUUCCCAGGCGGCACGUUUAACGCGUUAGCUUCGCCACAAAAGGGGUCGAUUCCUUUUACAGCAAACGUGCACCGUUUACGGCUAGGACUAC
rnacentral:misc_RNA from 1 species